UACAGAGGGUGCGAGCGUUAAUCGGAAUUACUGGGCGUAAAGCGCGUGUAGGCGGUCACGCAAGUCAGGUGUGAAAGCCCUGGGCUCAACCCAGGAAGUGCACAUGAUACUACGUGGCUGGAGUACUGAAGAGGAGAGCGGAAUUCCCGGUGUAGUGGUGGAAUGCGCAGAUAUCGGGAAGAACACCCGUGGCGAAGGCGGCUCUCUGGGACGGUACUGACGCUGAGACGCGAAAGCGUGGGGAGCGAACAGG
rnacentral:rRNA from 1 species